AGUCCACGCCGUAAACGGUGGGUGCUAGUUGUGGGUCACAUUCCACGUGAUCCGUGACGCAGCUAACACAUUAAGCACCCCGCCUGGGGAGUACGGUCGCAAGACUAAAACUCAAAGGAAUUGACGGGGGCCCGCACAAGCGGCGGAGCAUGCGGAUUAAUUCGAUGCAACGCGAAGAACCUUACCAAGGCUUGACAUAUAGAGGAAAAGCGUAGAAAUACGCUCCCCGCAAGGUCUCUAUACAGGUGGUGCAUGGUUGUCGUCAGCUCGUGUCGUGAGAUGUUGGGUUAAGUCCCGCGACGAGCGCAACCCUCGUCCUAUGUUGCCAGCACGUAAUGGUGGGAACUCAUAGGAGACUGCCGGGGUCAACUCGGAGGAAGGUGGGGAUGACGUCAAAUCAUCAUGCCCCUUAUGUCUUGGGCUUCACGCAUGCUACAAUGGCCAGUACAAAGGGCUGCGAUACCGUAAGGUGGAGCGAAUCCCAUAAAGCUGGUCUCAGUUCGGAUUGAGGUCUGCAACUCGACCUCAUGAAGUCGGAGUCGCUAGUAAUCGUAGAUCAGCAACGCUACGGUGAAUACGUUCCCGGGCCUUGUACACACCGCCCGUCAAGUCACGAAAGUCGGUAACACCCGAAGCCGGUGGCCUAACCGUAAGGA
rnacentral:rRNA from 1 species